AGUGAACGCUGGCGGUAGGCCUAACACAUGCAAGUCGAACGGCAGCACAGUAAGAGCUUGCUCUUACGGGUGGCGAGUGGCGGACGGGUGAGGAAUACAUCGGAAUCUACUUUUUCGUGGGGGAUAACGUAGGGAAACUUACGCUAAUACCUCAUACGACCUACGGGUGAAAGCAGGGGAUCUUAGGACCUUGCGCGAUUGAAUGAGCCGAUGUCGGAUUAGCUAGUUGGCGGGGUAAAGGCCCACCAAGGCGACGAUCCGUAGCUGGUCUGAGAGGAUGAUCAGCCACACUGGAACUGAGACACGGUCCAGACUCCUACGGGAGGCAGCAGUGGGGAAUAUUGGACAAUGGGCGCAAGCCUGAUCCAGCCAUACCGCGUGGGUGAAGAAGGCCUUCGGGUUGUAAAGCCCUUUUGUUGGGAAAGAAAAGCAGCAGGUUAAUACCCCGCUGUUCUGACGGUACCCAAAGAAUAAGCACCGGCUAACUUCGUG
rnacentral:rRNA from 1 species